UGGGGAAUAUUGGACAAUGGGCGAAAGCCUGAUCCAGCCAUGCCGCGUGUGUGAAGAAGGUCUUCGGAUUGUAAAGCACUUUAAGUGGGGAGGAAGGGCAUUAACCUAAUACGUUAGUGUUUUGACGUUACCGACAGAAUAAGCACCGGCUAACUAUGUGCCAGCAGCCGCGGUAAUACAGAGGGUGCAAGCGUUAAUCGGAAUUACUGUGCGUAAAGCGCGCGUAGGUGGUUUGUUAAGUUGGAUGUGAAAUCCCCGGGCUCAACCUGGGAACUGCAUUCAAAACUGACUGACUAGAGUAUGGUAGAGGGUGGUGGAAUUUCCUGUGUAGCGGUGAAAUGCGUAGAUAUAGGAAGGAACACCAGUGGCGAAGGCGACCACCUGGACUAAUACUGACACUGAGGUGCGAAAGCGUGGGGAGCAAACA
rnacentral:rRNA from 1 species